rnacentral:rRNA from 1 species
GCGGCGGUGGGGCUGGCGGGCGCCAGCGUGCUGGUGUGGUGGGCGGUGGCGUUCCACCCGGCGCGGGAGCAACUCUGCAUGGUGCCCGUCGGGCUCGUCCUCCUCGGCACGCCGCUCGUCGCCUGGCUCUCCCUCUUCGCCUCCGGCGCAUGCCGC